rnacentral:misc_RNA from 1 species
GAUGAAGAACGCAGCAAAAUGCGAUAAGUAAUGUGAAUUGCAGAAUUCAGUGAAUCGUCGAAUCUUUGAACGCACAUUGCGCCCGCCAGUAUUCUGGCGGGCAUGCCUGUUCGAGCGUCAUUUCAACCCUCAAGCACAGCUUGGUGUUGGGACUCGCGUUAAUUCGCGUUCCCCAAAUUGAUUGGCGGUCACGUCGAGCUUCCAUAGCGUAGUAGUAAAACCCUCGUUACUGGUAAUCGUCGCGGCCACGCCGUUAAACCCCAACUUCUGAAUGUUGACCUCGGAUCAGGUAGGAAUACCCGCUGAACUUAAGCAUAUCAUAAGCGGAGGA